GCCCCGCCCGCAGCGGGGAGUGAUGGGGGAGGGGUGGGAAUGACGUCACACGGUGGGCCCAGGUGUGCCCAGACGUGCCCAGGUGUGCCCCAGGUACCCCCCAGGUGCCCCCAGGUGUAUCUCAGGUGUAUCUCAGGUGUAUCUCAGGUGCCCCCAGGCACCCUCCAGGUGUUCCUCAGGUACCCCCAGGUGUAUCUCAGGUGUAUCUCAGGUGUCCCCAGGUGUAUCUCAGGUGUAUCUCAGGUGCCCCCAGGUGUAUCUCAGGUGCCCCCAGGUGUAUCCCAGGUGUGCCCAGGUGUGCCCCAGGUACCCCCAGGUGUAUCCCAGGUGUGCCCAGGUGUAUCUCAGGUGUAUCUCAGGUGCCCCCAGGUGUAUCUCAGGUACCCCCAGGUGUAUCCCAGGUGUAUCCCAGGUGUCCCCAGGUGCCCCCAGGUGUAUCCCAGGUGUAUCCCAGGUGUAUCCCAGGUGUAUCCCAGGUGUAUCUCAGGUGUAUCUCAGGUGUAUCUCAGGUGUCCCCAGGUGUAUCUCAGGUGUAUCUCAGGUGCCCCCAGGUGCCCCCAGGUGUAUCCCAGGUGCCCCCAGGUGUAUCUCAGGUGUAUCUCAGGUACCCCCAGGUGUAUCUCAGGUGUAUCCCAGGUGUAUCCCAGGUGUAUCCCAGGUGUAUCUCAGGUGUAUCUCAGGUGCCCCCAGGUACCCCCAGGUGUAUCUCAGGUGCCCCCAGGUGUAUCUCAGGUGCCCCCAGGUGUAUCCCAGGUGCCCCCAGGUGUAUCCCAGGUGUAUCCCAGGUGUUUCAGGUGUAACCCAGGUGCCCCCAGGUGUAUCUCAGGUGUAUCUCAGGUGUAUCUCAGGUGUAUCUCAGGUGCCCCCAGGUGUAUCCCAGGUGUAUCCCAGGUGUAUCUCAGGUGUAUCUCAGGUGUAUCUCAGGUGCCCCGGGCAUACCUUGGCCACGCCGGUGGCUGCUGGCCCCAUGUCCUGCCCGUCCACCACCAGGUGCAUCGAGUCGUCGGCGCCGCGGCGCACGCCCAGCCGGUUCCCCACCUGGAGCACCCCAAAAUGUCCCCAAAAUGUCCCAAAAUAUCCCCAAAUCCAUCCCCAGACGGUUCCCCACCUGGAGCACCCCAAAAUGGCCCAAAAUGUCCCAAAAUAUCCCCAAAAUGUCCCAAAAUGUCCCAAAAAUAUCCCAAAAUAUCCCCAAUAUAUCCCCAAAUCCAUCCCCAGACGGUUCCCCACCUAAAACACCCCAAAAUGGCCCAAAAUGGCCCAAAAUAUCCUAAAAAUCCAUUCCCAGCCGGU
rnacentral:lncRNA from 1 species